rnacentral:rRNA from 1 species
AUUGAACGCUGGCGGCAGGCCUAACACAUGCAAGUCGAGCGGAUGAAGGGAGCUUGCUCCUGGAUUCAGCGGCGGACGGGUGAGUAAUGCCUAGGAAUCUGCCUGGUAGUGGGGGAUAACGUCCGGAAACGGGCGCUAAUACCGCAUACGUCCUGAGGGAGAAAGUGGGGGAUCUUCGGACCUCACGCUAUCAGAUGAGCCUAGGUCGGAUUAGCUAGUUGGUGGGGUAAAGGCCUACCAAGGCGACGAUCCGUAACUGGUCUGAGAGGAUGAUCAGUCACACUGGAACUGAGACACGGUCCAGACCCCUACGGGAGGCAGCAGUGGGGAAUAUUGGACAAUAGGCGAAAGCCUGAUCCAGCCAUGCCGCGUGUGUGAAGAAGGUCUUCGGAUUGUAAAGCACUUUAAGUUGGGAGGAAGGGCAGUAAGUUAAUACCUUGCUGUUUUGACGUUACCAACAGAAUAAGCACCGGCUAACUUCGUG